ensembl:processed_transcript
AGUCGUACAUGCAUGCCAAAGCUUAACAUCCCCAAUAUCACUGUUUACAAAAUGCAUUGCCUGGGCAUAGCAUUUACCCUAAGUCAUUCUACCAGUUAGAUGUCUCCUCUAGAGAGUCAGCAUCCUCAAAUACUCCAAGUAUUUAAUACAGUAUGUGCCGUGGUGUAUCCCGUUCAGCGUGCCUAGCUCAUUGAUACGUUUCCAUUGUGUGAGUAUAAAGGAGAAGUCGAUGUCAAAGGCUUUAGUUAACUAAAAAACCACCUGCAAAUCCAUCUCAUUCAUAACUACUUCUGCAGAGUAAGAGAGAAGCGUUAAUAGCUCUCUUCUCAAAUAUCCUUAUCUGUGAAGUGAGUAAGUGGGUCAGGCUAGGUAGGGUCUCAGUGCUUACCCCCUCUCAGAAUUACUGAAGCUAUGUCAUAGUAUAGGGGGCAAUAGGAGCAAGGCCAAAACCUGUGAACUUAUUUGUCCAUUGGUACCAUCAGUUGCCCUUCAAAGUUACAUCUGAUUCCACCUCCAGGGUCAUUUGUUACUAAUCUGCUUUAUCUUGUUGAGAAAGCACCUAAGAUUGGAGUUUAUUUUUCAGGGAGGGAUGGUGACAGAAAAAAAAGCAGCCUAGGGGCAAAAGAAAAGAAAACUAAAGCUUCCCAAAGGGAGAAGUGAAUUCUUGAUCCCAGUUAUAAAGCCACAUCCUUCAACAUUAACUUGGAAGAUAUCCAGACACUGCCUUUCUGUUUUAGACCACACCCUCUCCCCAGCCCUUCUGCUAUCCUGUGAUUUCUUGUGGUGUGGUUUAUUUACUCCAUUGGAUUGCUGCCUAUAAGUUCUGUGUUUCUUGUUCCCCUUGGUUUAUUUGAAUUGUGGUCAUGUUCUUUUCAGGAGCCUACAAUGGUCACUUGACCACAGCGCACUUCCCAAACGAGACACUGACAUGUUCAAGGCCAUCUGGAAAUGACCCCAUCUCCUUUUCUCAAACCACUCAGAAUGUAAAACCCCUUCUUUUAUUAAGCCAAACUGGAUUCCCCAGUCUCCAAAUCUUUGACAUGUUUACAGCUGACUAAUUUCCUUCCUGGGUGCCCCAAUAUUCCAGUAACUCCUGCCUUCCUUCAUUACUGUCUCCCUUUUCCCCUUUCUCCUACACUCUCCUUCUUUUCCCUCAUACCCUCUCCUUCUUUCCCUUUUCUUUUUCCUUUCUCUUUAUCACUACUCCCUCCCUUCCCUUUCUCUCUCCCUCCUUCCCUUUCUCCCUCACACUUUCUAUUUCAGUACCAUGUGCCAAGCUCUAUGGCCGGCACUGAAAAUACCAAGACAUAUUCAAGGGGCUAAGCAAUGAACACCCACUAAUUCCAGUGCCUCCAUUCACUCCUGUAUUGCAGCAGUUAGGCACCUACAACCAACUUAGUUUGCCUUCAUUCCUAGGACUCAUUUGACUGUGCUCUGUGUCCUGUGAUCUUUUGCUCUGUGCCUGUGUGUUCUGUUUCAGGGAGGGUAGACCUGAAGCUUUCUUCUUUGUACACACUGACACAAGACUGCUGCUGCAUUGAUUCUUGAGCAAGGCGAACAAUGGAAGAAAGCCACUUUUUGUUGUUAAAGUGAGGUAGCAUUUCUGCUGUAGUUAGAAAGAGCAUUGUCUCUCCAGUGUCCCAAAUCACUUCCAUUAAACAGUCAAUGUGAUAACUGUCUGUGACAUGUUCUAUUAUCUUUCUAGUUGUUCUGAUGUUCCUUUCAGCUGGUCCUAUAGCCCCCUUUCUCAGUAAUGUCUCCCCAGUGAAAGGAAAAAGACUGCAGAGGCUUCAGACUGACGGACGCUCAUGCCAACUGUGAAGUUGAAACAAAGCCAGUGACCAGCUGAAGAGGCCCCUCCUGCCCAGCAGCCACCCACAUGGUGCAGUUGCAGCCAGUAGUAAUCUUUGCAAGAAGCAGAGAAGCCCAGAACACUCAUGAGUCAAAACCAUGCCCUUCCUUGUGUGUAUCCCUGUCUCGUUCAGAUUGAUGCUCCUUCCAUUUGGAUCCUGGUAUGAAUAUGCUUGUUACUGUACGAGUGUAAAAAGCUUUGCCCAAAUGUGUUAAUGUAUGAAGAGACUGAAUUUUUUUUUGGGGGGGGGGAGAGAGUUAUUUUUAUCAAAACACAGUGUUCGUUCUUGAGAGUGAUCUAGAAAAUAAAAAGCAGUUGGAAAAGACAGCAAAGCAGUCACAGGCGAUCCACAGAGAUGCUCACACCACCACACAGAAACACCACACCAUGCUCCCAGACUCUGAGCAGGGAGCUUGACUCUGUGACAUACUAUGGCUGCUGCCAGGGGUCAACGUCAAGCCAGACAAAGGUGCAGAAGCUUCCUGAAGUGUAGUGAUAAACUGAGUCAGGAGACAAUAAGAACAGCAACGACACAAAAGACAACGUCCUUGGAGGGAGCCAAGUGGGUUUGCUUAAGGAAGGAUGCUCCCUUAAAGAGAGAAUGGGAAAUCAACCUUUAAAGGAUGUAAAAACAAAACUAGAUAAAUGGGAAGAUAGGAGAAAAUAGAGUCCUUAAUGCAAGCAUAAGGGUAAGCAGCGGACGGGCAGAGGAGAUCCACAUGGUGAGUCUUGGAGACUACACAUAUCUCGUCUUGAUUUUGCCUGACACUUGGAACCGCUGUCUGUGUGUCUAGUAGAGAUGCUGCACACAGGUAUCUCCCCUCCCCCACCCCGAAUGUCACCUAAACCAAACUAGAACUAAAGUUCCAGUUCUGUGUCACUACAAAGAUUGGUUGGUGAUUCCUGAAUAGAAGUCAUGAUUCUUCUGUUCGUGAUUGCUUGUUACCAAGUUUAUUCCAUACAGAAAAUGUUUUGCAUAUUAAAUCUCAUGGUUGCUAUGAAAACGACACAUUAUCCACCUUUCACAGGUGAAGGAACUGAUUUUGGUGAGGUUGAGCGCCUGGCCAAGGUGCUACGUGCAGCUAUGCACAUUCAAGGUUGUGGUCAUGAAACUCAGUCCCUAGUCUGACUUUUGUGAUGAGUCCCAACACAGUUGUCACCUUUACCAUAGCCCUUAAUGCCUGUCUACAGAAAGACAUGGCUUUUCUGCUGACUUACAGCCACAGUAUUUCCUACUUCCAUGCUGAAUUAUACCAGAAUGAUAAAACGUAUUUUCAUGGAAGAAAAUUGAGAAUUUAGUGAAAUACACUGCUUGCCAGCAGUUUGUAUGUUUCUUCUUCAUUUUGGUCUGAGACUUUUGAUUUAGUUCUGCAUGAAAUCUCAAAGUUUUAAGAGCAGUAAGGGAAGGGCCUUAAGUUACCUGUUAUAGUACUUUGUGACAGAAGAUGUAAAUCUACAACCUGUAAUCAGAGUGACUUUACAAACAAACAACAAAAAGACACCCCUCCCCACAAAAACUCAAAUCAAACCAACCAACCAAACAACAAAAUAAACAAAACCGCCCACUUAAUUGGAAAUGUCCCAACAAAGACCAGAAACUAAGUCCUCUUUCAAUGGCUUUUAAAUUAUUCCACCCUGUCCUAAAGAAACAUGAACUUGUAUUUGACUAAAGGCACCAAUGUUGCAUAGAUUGGAUCUCAUAAAAUCUAGUUUCUUCCUUCCUUGGUACUCAUGUCAAUGUUAAAUACAGCUAUGAACUAGUGUAUCUAUGUCAAGAAGUUGUCAAUGAUCUGUCCCCAAAGAACACAGAAUAGCCAAUGUUGUAUAUAUACUCCUUCUUUAAUCCAGCCAUGGAGUCAUUAGUUCACCUGCACCAAUCCAAUCCAUUGUGCAUCUUCUCAACCAACCUGACCUAUGGCAAUCAUUUGCAAGUGCUAUAAAUGUUUAUCUAUGACUGUUCCAGAAAUAGUUAGGUAUUAACAAAUACCACUAGUCAUUUUGUGGUGUAAUCUUCAUUUAUCUGUGUCACUAAUUCAAGAAGACUUUGGCCAUAAAAACCUAGAACUAAAAAUCGCAUUCUUGGCUUUCAGCCACUCUACAUUUGAUUGACAUUUCACAGUGAUUAAUAAAUUGUCCAUCUAAAUAACAUAGAUGUCCAGAUUGUGAUUUUUGUCUUGAAUGAGACCGUUAAACUGGGUAGGCUAAGGGACAGAUGUCUAACUUUUUGAGGUACCUGGAUAUUUAACUGAUGUAAUUUUCUACUUAGCUGUUUGACAUUGUUGUAUGUAGUCCUGGUCAUGGCUUUGACUGUUCUCUUUUUUCAAAAUGCUUGUUGGCUCUGUCUUACACUGUUCUCACUGAUCUCAUAAAUAAACAGGUUUGUUGUUAAAGAGU